UAGGGAAUAUUGGACAAUGGGGGCAACCCUGAUCCAGCCAUGCCGCGUGAGUGAAGAAGGCCCUCGGGUUGUAAAGCUCUUUUGUCCGGAAAGAAAAGCAUUCGGUGAAUACCCGGAUGUUCUGACGGUACCGGAAGAAUAAGCACCGGCUAACUUCGUGUCAGCAGCCGCGGUAAUACGAAGGGUGCAAGCGUUACUCGGAAUUACUGGGCGUAAAGCGUGCGUAGGUGGUUGUUUAAGUCUGAUGUGAAAGCCCUGGGCUCAACCUGGGAAUGGCAUUGGAAACUGGGCAGCUAGAGUGCGGUAGAGGGUAGUGGAAUUCCCGGUGUAGCAGUGAAAUGCGUAGAGAUGUGGAAGAACACCGAUGGCGAAGGCAGCUCCCUGGGUUGACACUGACGCUCAUGCACGAAAGCGUGGGGAGCAAACA
rnacentral:rRNA from 1 species